rnacentral:rRNA from 1 species
GUCGAACGGCAGCACGGAGAGCUUGCUCUCUGGUGGCGAGUGGCGAACGGGUGAGUAAUAUAUCGGAACGUAUCCAAUAAUGGGGGAUAACGAGUCGAAAGAUUCGCUAAUACCGCAUACGCCCUACGGGGGAAAGCAGGGGAUCGUAAGACCUUGCGUUAAUGGAGCGGCCGAUAUCUGAUUAGCUUGUUGGUGAGGUAAAGGCUCACCAAGGCGACGAUCAGUAGCUGGUUUGAGAGAACGACCAGCCACACUGGAACUGAGACACGGUCCAGACUCCUACGGGAGGCAGCAGUGGGGAAUUUUGGACAAUGGGGGCAACCCUGAUCCAGCCAUUCCGCGUGAGUGAAGAAGGCCUUCGGGUUGUAAAGCUCUUUCGCAAGGGAAGAAAACUUAUGAUCGAAUAAAUCAUGAGGUUGACGGUACCUUGAUAAGAAGCACCGGCUAACUACGUGCCAGCAGCCGCGGUAAUACGUAGGGUGCGAGCGUUAAUCGGAAUUACUGGGCGUAAAGCGUGCGCAGGCGGUUUUGUAAGUCAGAUGUGAAAGCCCCGGGCUCAACCUGGGAAUUGCAUUUGAAACUGGAAAACUAGAGUGUGUGAGAGGGGGGUAAAAUUCCAAGUGUAGCGGUGAAAUGCGUAGAGAUUUGGAGGAAUACCAGUGGCGAAGGCGGCCCCCUGGCACAACACUGACGCUCAGGUGCGAAAGCGUGGGGAGCAAACAGGAUUAGAUACCCUGGUAGUCCACGCCG